rnacentral:rRNA from 1 species
GACGAACGCUGGCGGCGUGCUUAACACACGCAAGUCGAGCGGAAAGGCCCCUUCGGGGGUACUCGAGCGGCGAACGGGUGAGUAACACGUGAGCAACCUGCCCUUGACUCUGGGAUAAGCCUAGGAAACUGGGUCUAAUACUGGAUACGACUCCUGCCGGCAUCGGCGGGGUGGAAAGAUUUAUCGGUCAAGGAUGGGCUCGCGGCCUAUCAGCUUGUUGGUGGGGUAAUGGCCCACCAAGACUUCUACGGGUAGCCGGCCUGAGAGGGCGACCGGCCACACUGGGACUGAGACACGGCCCAGACUCCUACGGGAGGCAGCAGUGGGGAAUAUUGCGCAAUGGGCGAAAGCCUGACGCAGCAACGCCGCGUGAGGGAUGACGGCC